CGCCGCGUGAGGGAUGAAGGUCUUCGGAUUGUAAACCUCUGUCACUGGGGAAGAAACGCUUCAAGCCAACACCUUGAAGCCUGACUUAACCCGGAGAGGAAGCAGUGGCUAACUCUGUGCCAGCAGCCGCGGUAAUGCAGAGACUGCAAGCGUUAUUCGGAUUCACUGGGCGUAAAGGGUGCGCAGGCGGCAAUGUGUGUGAGACGUGAAAGCCCGGGGCUUAACCUCGGAAUUGCGCCUCAAACUACAUUGCUAGAGCAUUGGAGAGGGUAGCAGAAUUCACGGUGUAGCAGUGAAAUGCGUAGAUAUCGUGAGGAAUACCAGAGGCGAAGGCGGCUACCUGGACAAUUGCUGACGCUCAGGCACGAAAGCGUGGGGAGCAAAAGGGAUUAGAUACCCCUGUAGUCCACGCCCUAAACGGUGCACACUAGGUCUUGGCGGAUUCGACCCCCCCAGGGCCCAAGCUAACGCGUUAAGUGUGCCGCCUGAGGACUACGGCCGCAAGGCUAAAACUCAAAGGAAUUGACGGGGGCCCGCACAAGCGGUGGAGUAUGUGGCUCAAUUCGAUGCAACGCGAAGAACCUUACCUGGCCUUGACAUGCAUUAGACCGGCGCUGAACGGCGCCUUACCUUCGGGGCUGGUGCCA
rnacentral:rRNA from 1 species